AUACGAAGGGUGCAAGCGUUACUCGGAAUUACUGGGCGUAAAGCGUGCGUAGGUGGUUGUUUAAGGCUGUCGUGAAAGCCCUGGGCUCCACCUGGGAAUGGCGAUGGAAACUGGGCGACUAGAGUGUGGCAGAGGGUAGUGGAAUUCCUGGUGUAGCAGUGAAAUGCGUAGAGAUCAGGUGGAACAUCCGUGGCGACGGCGACUGCCUGGGCCAACACUGACACUGAGGCACGAAAGCGUGGGGAGCAAACAGGAUUAGAUACCCUGGUAGUCCACGCCCUAAACGAUGCGAACUGGAUGUUGGGUGCAAUUUGGCACGCAGUAUCGAAGCUAACGCGUUAAGUUCGCCGCCUGGGGAGUACGGUCGCAAGACGAAAACUCAAAUGAAUUGACGGGG
rnacentral:rRNA from 1 species